CUCCAUUUUCCAAGAAACUUUCCCUCUCCAUUAUUGAGUUCUUUCACACGUGAGAUCUGAUUUUCGAUAGAUAUCUCCUUCUUUUUCAAGUCUUCACUCUCCCUUUUUCAUCUUUCUAUCUUCAUUAAUUUCCAGAAACAAAAUAUUAGUUUCAGUUUUCCAACCUUCAACCUCACAGGAAACUUGGCAUGAAGCUUCAAAGAAUGUUUCCUAUUUGCUGUUGGCUGCCAUAAAGAAAUCGACACUGGUCGGGAUAUGGGGAUGGAGGGUUCAGCUAGAAGAGGGGAACGGCCUCGGUUUCGAGUUCGGAGCAGAGAUUGGCUAUUGAAGUCUACUGCGUGUCUGGUGUGGGUGGUUAGAUGCAGAGAAUUUGGCUCCAGAGCAACGGCACAACUUCAUCCACAAUGGUGUUAACCUCCUCUUUACUAAUCUUUGUAUGAAAUUAGAAUAUAAGCAUGUAACUAUCCAGUUAUGGCGUUUAACUUUUUCAGGCCAGAAGGUGUUUGAGUGGGAUCAAACAUUAGAAUAGGUGAAUAUGUGCAUAAACCUUCCACCAAAUAUUCCUAAGAAACUCUUUUGCCGUAAGAUUGAGUCCAAUCUUGUCAAAUUUUGUAAAUUUGUGACAAGUAAUAUAUAUAUAUAUAUAUAUAUAUAUAUAUAUAUAUAUAUAUAUAUAUAUAUAUAUAUAUAUAUAUAUUUAUUUAUUUAUUUUAUUUUAUUUUAUUUUUUUGUUUCCUUCAUAUUUGAAUAAUUGUUUCUUGAAUUAUUUUAGUUUUUGUAUUUGGGGUUUUCUUAGAAUUUUGAAUUUUUGAAAGCACAGCUUGAACAAUAAGAUAACAAGAAGGGGUGCAAAACUUCUAUUUAUCUCUCUCUCGAUCUUGAAAGAACCAUAAAGGUUGUAUAGUGUUUGUUAUUAGUAAUGGUAUGUACGAUGUUUGAAAGAGAAUAAAUUCUGAUUCUUUGGUGAUAUUAUGAAUCUUGAGUGUGCUUAUUGAGAAUCAAUUCUGAUUCUGAAUUGUGGUUCAAUCUCAGUCUGAUGUGUUUUACCGGGAUAUUUGAAAUCAAGUACAUGAAAUGCUUAUUCUUUUCCAGGCUAUAGCUAAGAAAUUGGCAGUGGCAAGAUAGUGACAACCAUUGGAGGCAGUGACUACGUAGCUGCUAUUGAAAAGGCUGGUCUCACCGACAAGAUGAGCCAUAUCUCAACUGGAGGUAGGGCGAGCUUUGACCUUCUUGAGGGAAGACCCUUACCUGGUGUUCUUGCCCUUAAUGAGGCUUGAGUAGUGUUUUUCGUUGACAUGACUGGCUUCCAACCAGACGAGCUGAAUAAGCCAGACCUAUGGAAUGAUCCUAUACAUUCAGGGAAGAUAAGUCGUGAACAUGGUUCACUUUUGGUAAAAAUGAAAAAGGCUAAUGCAUUUGAGCAAGAACUACUUGAGCAUAUUGAUAUGAUAACACUUGCUCGUGAAGAUAAUGAUGUAGAAUUGGAAUCAGUGGGUCCUCAAUCAUUUUUUUCGAGCAUGUAUCCUUCUUUUCUAUUUUAUAGAGUUUCAUAAUGUUUCUACUUUUGGCAUGAAACUACUCAUUUAUAUUAUUUUCAUCAUUCUUUCCAAACUUCAACCAACUUAAAUUACUCACGCAUUUUUAAAAAUAAUUGGAUCAUAAAUCUUGAUUUUCCUCUAUCUAGGUCUCUUAGAAAACUUAGUUGGAUCAUUGUGAUGUAUUUGAUCCUAAGUUACUAUUGGAUUAAAUGAAUUUAAUUUGUUUGGGUGAAAAUGUGAUUUGUACGUGUGUAUAGUUAAUGUAAUGGAAUUUAAAUAACAAUAGAUUAAUUCAUAUAAUAAUUUAGGUACAAGAAAAUAUAAAUACAAAAGUUGGUUUUUGGAGAGUCGGAUGGAAUGCUUUCCUUUAAUGUUAUGUGUAAUCUAGAAGUAAUCUGUAUUCAAAAUUCCCCUUUUCGGUGUUUUAAUUUUACGGAUGAUGUAAAUAUUGAAAAGAUGAUUCUUUCCUCAUGAGUUGCAUGUGAGAUUAACUUAUUAUUCUUCUAAUUAAUAGGAAUCUCAAAAGGCUCUACUUACAAUGAGAAAAAAACAUCAACGGAAAGGAGAGUUUGAAGCUUUGUUAGCUAGGGAGUGUGAUACUUCUAACUUCAUAGAGGUAAGCUAUAUUAAUGGCCACCUAUUAGGUGCAUUUAAAUAUUAAUAAGUAUUUGCUUCUGAAUUUUGUCCUUGUAAAAAUGUGUAAUUGUUUCAUUAUUUCUUGGUGGACUCAAUAAUUUUGUUUUAUUGGUAUUAUUAUCUAGAUAUAAUUGCACUUAUUGAAUCAAUUUGGCGAAAAUCAAUCUUUUUCUACUAAUUAUAGAUUCAAGCCGGAGCUUGUGGUACUGAUAGCGUGGACUGGGAUUCAAUGGUAAUGUAAAUGUACAAGAAGUAGGCUGAACGUCGAGGCUUAGGAAUUACCAUUGUGGAUGAAAUGACUGGCAAGUUAGCAAGAAUAGGGAUUCAUGUUCUUACCACCUUUUAUGUUUAUAAUGCUUAAUAUUUUAUGAUGUCUAAUGGAUUCUAUGUGUUCAGUAUUAUCUCUUGGACAACAGAAUAAGGGUUC
rnacentral:lncRNA from 1 species